GACGAACGUUGGCGGCGUGCUUAAUACAUGCAAGUCAACUGAAGCAGUGGUAGCAAUAUCGCUGUGGAGGUGGCGCACGGGUGAGUAACACGUAGGUAAUCUGCCUUCAGGUCUGGCAUAACUCCGGGAAACCGGGGCUAAUAGCAGAUGAUGCAGCGGCUCGACAUCGAGACAGUUGUUAAAGCUAUGGCGCCUGAAGAUGAGCCUGCGUCUGAUUAGCUAGUUGGCGGGGUAACGGCCCACCAAGGCAACGAUCAGUAGCUGGUCUGAGAGGAUGAUCAGCCACACUGGAACUGAGACACGGUCCAGACUCCUACGGGAGGCAGCAGUAAGGAAUAUUGCUCAAUGAGAGAAAUCCUGAAGCAGCAACGCCGCGUGAGGGACGAAGGGCUUUUGCUUGUAAACCUCUGUAGUGAGAGAAAAAAAUCCCAAUCUUUGGGACAUGAUGGUAUCUCAAAAGUAAGCCCCGGCUAACUACGUG
rnacentral:rRNA from 1 species